rnacentral:rRNA from 1 species
GCAUGCCCUUCGGGGUGAUGGGGACUCACAGGAGACUGCCGGGGUCAACUCGGAGGAAGGUGGGGACGACGUCAAGUCAUCAUGCCCCUUAUGUCUUGGGCUGCACACGUGCUACAAUGGCAGGUACAAAGAGCUGCGAAGCCGCGAGGCGGAGCGAAUCUCAAAAAGCCUGUCUCAGUUCGGAUUGGGGUCUGCAACUCGACCCCAUGAAGUCGGAGUUGCUAGUAAUCGCAGAUCAGCAUUGCUGCGGUGAAUACGUUCCCGGGCCUU